rnacentral:rRNA from 1 species
UACGAAGGGGGCUAGCGUUGCUCGGAAUCACUGGGCGUAAAGCGCACGUAGGCGGAUUGGAAAGUUGGGGGUGAAAUCCCGGGGCUCAACUCCGGAACUGCCUUCAAAACUCCCAGUCUGGAGGUCGAGAGAGGUGAGUGGAAUUCCGAGUGUAGAGGUGAAAUUCGUAGAUAUUCGGAGGAACACCAGUGGCGAAGGCGGCUCACUGGCUCGAUACUGACGCUGAGGUGCGAAAGCGUGGGGAGCAAACAGG